GACGAACGCUGGCGGCGUGCUUAACACAUGCAAGUCGAGCGGAAAGGCCCUUUCGGGGGUACUCGAGCGGCGAACGGGUGAGUAACACGUGAGUAAUCUGCCCCGUACUCUGGGAUAGCCUUGGGAAACUGAGAUUAAUACCGGAUAUGAAAUGCGCUCGCAUGGGUGUGUUUGGAAAGUUUUUUCGGUACGGGAUGUGCUCGCGGCCUAUCAGCUUGAUGGUGGGGUAAUGGCCUACCAUGGCUUCGACGGGUAGCCGGCCUGAGAGGGUGACCGGCCACACUGGGACUGAGACACGGCCCAGACUCCUACGGGAGGCAGCAGUGGGGAAUAUUGGACAAUGGGCGGAAGCCUGAUCCAGCAACGCCGCGUGAGGGAUGAAGGCCUUCGGGUUGUAAACCUCUUUCAGUGCAGACGAAGCGCAAGUGACGGUAUGCACAGAAGAAGGACCGGCCAACUACGUGCCAGCCGCCGCAGUAACAC
rnacentral:rRNA from 1 species